CUGGAAUUCACUGUCACAAACAGAGCCCCAGCUGGUGACUCCAGACCUGGAGUGUAAUUUGACUCAUUUGAGAGUUUAGAACCAGCCAGAGCCUUCCCCCUACAACUCCCCUGGGGGGGGAGGGGCAUGAGACAGGUCACUUUGCUCAAAUGACAAGGUGGUGAUGACCCGCGACUCUGUUGUGAUGCAGUGAUUGUUGGGUCAGUCCCCAGGGGCUGCAGCAUUUCACACCAGGCUGUCGCCCAGAGCACAUGGCUGCUGCCUGUGGGUCUGAGUACAGGGACCAGGGUGAUGGAGCAGGGCCUUUGGGACCAACCUGCUUCCAUUGCUAAAGGGAACGUGAGACACAGAAGGAUGAAGGAAAAUAUUCUUGUCCAACUGCAACGUAACCUCUUAUUUCUGUUGAUUUGAUCACUGCAGCUUGUCUGUCAGAAGUAGUAAGAGAACCUGUUCCUAUCAAGAGGUAAGGAAUGCACCUUCUCCUAGCAAUGGAGUGGAAACUAACCAAUCUGAGUGUACUUUCAGGUGAAGGAAGUGAAUCUAGCCUUUGCUGUCAAAGGCUACAAGCAGUUUCAUAAGAAUAAAGCAGGAUACAUAACGAAAGCUUCUGAGGUUACAGAAGUAUUGACUUGUUCCAAUCAAGAAUAAGGAAACCACUGAUACCUACCAGAUUAACAAUACAUCUGAUUGUAUGGAGAGAAAGAGAGAAACCAAUCCAGCAAUUCAUCACGCAGAAGAAAGUCAUAUUUCGAGAUGCAAGGAUGACACAUGGCUGUAGUUUACAGGAAGGAAUUAGCGGAUCCAUCCUUUUAAGGAGGUAAGAAAUAUGGGAAUGGUGUAUUGUAAUAGUCAAUGGUUCUGGACAUACUUUCAGGUGGAAGGAAGGUAACUGAUGUAAUCUUAAUCUCUCUAAAGAGCAUGAGAAGUUGCUGUACGGAAUAAAGCACAAAAAAUGGGAGCUACCUGUUCAGAUGAAAGGAAAGUAGUUGGUAAUUCUAACCAAUGAUGAUGAUCUCUGCUCCUUUUUCCUUCCCAGAGAAGGCCAUUGGUUGUUCCUACAAGGAUGUAACAGGGAAGUUAUUUCAAAGAACAAGUGCACUAACCAAAGUGUGAAGAUGAGCAUUGAGCCUGUUCUUCCAUUUGCAGAGAGGAGUUGUCCAGCUGAUUCUAUUUGUGCCUAAUUGAUCAUUGUUGCUUAUUUUUCAGAUGUCAAGAACUAAGUGGAACUGAUAAUUUCUAUCAAGAGGUAAGGAAGGCACCUCCUCACAGCAUGGAGGCAGGAAUUAAAGGCUCUGUUUCUAUUUUCAGGUGAAAGGAAGGUCUUACCAUUCAAGGGAGGAUGAGAGGCUGCUGAAUUUAAGAAAAAAGAAGUCAGACAGGUUUUGCUCUUCUGAGAUAUGAACAGACCAGGUGGUCAUUCCUACCAGGGAGAAGUGAGGCUCAGUGGCUGUCCCGGGCAAGGAGACAAAAAAAGCCACUUCAAGUAGUUCAGCUAGUCGCAAAUCUGAAUCAAGUCUGCAGAACAUCACAGACAUGGAGAUGAGAGAAAUGCAGCUGAGUUGAACGUUGAGGGUGUGAACUUCAGGAAGUUGCUAGAAGAUCUACAGAAAGGAAACAAGCAAAACUCAUCACUGCUACCAAGAGGAGGAGAGUUACAGAUGCUCAGGAUUUGAGUACAACGGAACAGGAAUGGAGCUAAACAGAUCCAACACCUGAAAGGAUGAUUGGAUCUCAAAAUAUGAAAGACCCUUCAUUCAAUAAAGCAACAGGAUUGGCUCUGAGGAGAGGUAAGCAACAUUUGGAAAGAGCCAGCAUGGACAGUAUUCAAGACACAAUGUUCAAAAGUUGCUGCUGGGAUGGAAGCAAAGAAGAAAGCCCUGGAGACAGGUUAGUGCUGGGACACAGACUAUCCUGGAGGGGCCUGGGACAGGGUGUGUAACCAUAGCGACCAGCGGGUCCUUUCCCCACUGUGGUCCUGGCUCGCAUGCACAGGGUGAAACCGAUCGCCGUGUUUGGGGUCGGGAAGGAAUUUUCCUCCAGGGCAGAUUGGCCAGAGACCCUGGAGGUUUUUCGCCUUCCUCUGGGGCAUCGAGCAGGGACCAGCCCUUAGGGCCAUUUAGGAACAGACAUAAUAAAAUCCAUCAGAGAGAA